CCUACGGGUGGCUGCAGUGGGGAAUAUUGCACAAUGGGGGAACCCUGAUGCAGCGACGCCGCGUGAGUGAAGAAGUAUUUCGGUAUGUAAAGCUCUAUCAGCAGGGAAGAAAAUGACGGUACCUGACUAAGAAGCACCGGCUAAAUACGUGCCAGCAGCCGCGGUAAUACGUAUGGUGCAAGCGUUAUCUGGAUUUACUGGGUGUAAAGGGAGCGUAGACGGAUAGGCAAGUCUGGAGUGAAAACCCGGGGCUCAACCCCGGGACUGCUUUGGAAACUGUUUAUCUAGAGUGCUGGAGAGGUAAGUGGAAUUCCUAGUGUAGCGGUGAAAUGCGUAGAUAUUAGGAGGAACACCAGUGGCGAAGGCGGCUUACUGGACAGUAACUGACGUUGAGGCUCGAAAGCGUGGGGAGCAAACAGGAUUAGAUACCCCAGUAGUC
rnacentral:rRNA from 1 species